GAAGUUUCCUUCGGGAAAUGGAUUAGCGGCGGACGGGUGAGUAACACGUGGGUAACCUGCCUCAUAGUGGGGGAUAGCCUUCCGAAAGGGAGAUUAAUACCGCAUAACAUCAUUAGAUGGCAUCAUUUAGUGAUCAAAGGGUUUAUUCGCUAUGAGAUGGACCCGCGUCGCAUUAGCUAGUUGGUAGGGUAAUGGCUUACCAAGGCGACGAUGCGUAGCCGACCUGAGAGGGUGAUCGGCCACAUUGGGACUGAGACACGGCCCAGACUCCUACGGGAGGCAGCAGUGGGGAAUAUUGCACAAUGGGGGAAACCCUGAUGCAGCAACGCCGCGUGAGUGAUGACGGUCUUCGGAUUGUAAAGCUCUGUCUUUGGGGAC
rnacentral:rRNA from 1 species